rnacentral:rRNA from 1 species
UACGUAGGGUGCGAGCGUUGUCCGGAAUUAUUGGGCGUAAAGAGCUUGUAGGCGGUCUGUCGCGUCUGCUGUGAAAAUCCGGGGCUCAACCCCGGACUUGCAGUGGGUACGGGCAGACUAGAGUGUGGUAGGGGAGACUGGAAUUCCUGGUGUAGCGGUGAAAUGCGCAGAUAUCAGGAGGAACACCGGUGGCGAAGGCGGGUCUCUGGGCCGAUACUGACGCUCGAUGCACGAAAGCGUGGGGAGCAAACAGG